ACUCAACACUAAUCUAUUAUGAAGGAUAAGUCUUAGUUGCUAAAGCAAGCCAUAGAUGCUAAAUUUAUUUUGCAUCAGGUGGAUCCUUGAUCAGCUAGUUAGUCCUAAACUUGUCAUAAUGGAGUUU
rnacentral:sRNA from 1 species